rnacentral:lncRNA from 1 species
CUUACUGGACACAAAAUCCUACAAAAAUCUACUCUUACUGGAGUUCAUCUUAUACUACAAUGAAUCUCCGUAUUACAGAAACCGAAGAUGAAACUAAUUGCAAAUUGGGCUUAGAACUCACAUUAGCCAGCUACUACGCACAACCUAUAAAGUAGCCAGGAGUCAAACACUCUGCGUUAGCCAGGAAUCAAACAUCCUCUAUCAAGACCUUUCGCUGUGGCCAGGACGUGCAAACAUGGCCAGAUGUCCCUUUCUCCCCCACUGUACACAACAGUACGAAAAAGUGAAUUGGCACUGUUGCUGCCGUUAGCCUCCGUUUGCCCCUACCGGACGAUGAACGGUCGUAGAUAGGAGGAGUGGUAUGCUCGAGAGCACCCUCGACUUUCCCAGCAAAAUAACAAAAUAGUCCAAGCAGAAGUAAGUCAAUGUCAGUCCCUGAUGUGCGGAGCCCGAUCCCCGAACUGCACUAACCUUGAGUUAUUUAUUUUUUAGGACAGUAAAAUUGGACACCCUGUAAGACCUCUCAGGCCAUCAAUGUUUUCGGUCGUUGGAUCUACCGACACCCUGUGAGACCUCUCAGGCCACCAAUGUUUUUGGCCGUCGGAUCUACCAUGUGAGCCCUUGCGAGGCCUGCUGGCUACUCCUCUCCUCGUGGGCCUUGAGACCCAGCCCCAGGCAAGGCCACCCUCUCAAAAGAAAUAACCUAGCCCUCAUCCCUCUUCCUAAAAAAAAAGAGCCCUGAUCCCGUAGCCGUGACCCGGACGAAGCGGUGCGGGCGACGGGUCAAGGCCGCAAGGCGCGCCGUCCGUCCUCCGCUCCACUGCGUCCCGCCGGCCGGCCGCCUCCCUCUCUGUUCGCCUUCCCCUUCGGCGCGAAGGGAAGAGAAGGUUUCCAGCCGGCGGCCGGUGCUCCCGACUGUCCAGCCCCGUAGUUGAGGUGAGGCGACGCCACCCGCAAAAAAAAAGAGAGAGAGAGAGAGAGAGAGGUGAGGCGACAUAGGACCCUCAACCUAUUCGACGGAAUGGGCAAGAAAGCUGCGCCGAGCAGGAAGGACCGCUUCAGCGACCUCCCCGACAAAGUCCUCCGUCAUGUGCUCUCCUUCCUGCCAAUUGAAACGGCAGCUCCCUGAUCAUUAUAUAUUCAUCCACGACGUCCUCAUUUGCAAGGGAAGCUGUGAGUGAGUAGCAUGGCACCUCUACCUACGCUAUCGGAAAAACGUCAUUUGCCGGGUAUCCGUGGCUUUUCCGUGAGCAAUCCUUCGGUCGAUCGGUUGCCAGAGAUACGCUAUGCGUGCAAAAAAGCCUACCGCAAAGAAACGGCCUAUGCAAAGGGCACCAACGGCCCACGGCAGUCGGCAAAGAAACGCCCAUGAAAAAGAAGAGCAAAGAAACCCACUCGGCUAGCUAGCACAACGAACAUCUACACAUCGUUCCACUAUGAAAACAAUGUUACCCUAUGAAAAAAACAGUACUUACACAUUGUUCCACUCUAGUACUAGGAAAGAUAAAACUGGUACAAGUAACAAAGUGAAUUAAACUUGCCUAAAAAAACAAAGUGAAUUAAACUAAAGGGAAAUAAAAAAAGAAACAAAACAAGAAAGAAAAGAAAAAACAACGAGAAAAAUGAUCCUAUAAUACUAGGAAAGAAAAACGAUCCUUGAUGAGUUGUAGAAUGGUGAGCGUGUUGGGGAGCCUCAAAACCUGUUUCCUUUUCUGAUCCGAAAAACUAGGGUUUUGGAACAAGGAGCCGGAAACCAAUGGGCCGGCUCUUACAGCCCAAUAGUGCGACUAAGGCAAGGCUUCCACCUAAAAUUUGGAAGGUAAGCUUGCAGUCUUCUUCUCCCGCUCCCCUCCUCUCACCACGCGACGGCGCGACCCCCUGCGAAGACGAACAAAGCGACGACGCGCUCCCCGGCCGCCUCCCUUCCAUUCCUCCGUCGUUUGCCUUUCCCAUCGUCAGCGAGAAGGCUCCCCAGCCGGCCGGCGACCGGCGCUUCCUGACUGUCCGUGCCCCCAAGGUACGUACGUACGUAAGAUAUACUCACUCCAGAUAUUGCCGAUCCAGUAUGUUCUUUCUCUCCUGAGAUGAGAGAUCGAAAGGGAUAGGAAUUCCGGUGAUCAUUUCUUCAAUUCUCGCUUGCACAGAAUCGGUUCCGGCCGCUUGCACGGAAUGGACAACGUUAACGUGAAGGCAGCGAAGGGCGCCGAGGGCAGCAAGGACCGCUUCGGCGAACUCCCACACGAAAUCCUCCGGCACGUGAUCUCCUUCCUGCCGGGGGUAGACACUCUGCGGACUUGCCUGAUCGACACCCGCUGGCUCGGCCUCUUGAGGAGCGCCACCAGCCUCGACUUCUCCUUUGGCUACGGCG